UACGUAGGGGGCAAGCGUUGUCCGGAUUUAUUGGGCGUAAAGAGCGUGUAGGCGGCCAUACAGGUCGAGCUGUGAAAACUCGAGGCUCCAACCUCGAGACGUCGGUUGAAACCGUAUGGCUAGAGUCCGGAAGAGGAGAGUGGAAUUCCCGGUGUAGCGGUGAAAUGCGCAGAUAUCGGGAAGAACACCCGUGGCGGAAGGCGGCUCUCUGGGACGGUACUGACGCUGAGACGCGAAAGCGUGGGAGCGAACAGG
rnacentral:rRNA from 1 species